rnacentral:rRNA from 1 species
AUUGAACGCUGGUGGCAGGCCUAACACAUGCAAGUCGAGCGAGCGGCGGACGGGUGAGUAAUGUCUGGGAAACUGCCCGAUGGAGGGGGAUAACUACUGGAAAAGGUAGCUACUACCGCAUACUAUCGGAUGUGCAAAAAUGGGAUUAGCUAGUAGGUGGGGUAACGGCUUACCUAGGCUACGAUCCCUACCUGGUCUGAGAGGAUGAUCAGCCACACUGGAACUGAGACACGGGCCAGACUCCUACGGGAGGCAGCAGUGGGGAAUAUUGCACAAUGGGCGCAAGCCUGAUGCAGCCAUGCCGCGUGUAUGAAGAAGGCCUUCGGGUUGUAAAGCACUUUCAGUGGGGAGGCGUUACCCGCAGAAGAAGCACCGGCUAACUCCGUGCCAGCAGCCGCGGUAAUUC